UACGGAGGGUGCAAGCGUUGUCCGGAAUUAUUGGGCGUAAAGAGCUCGUAGGCGGCUUGUCACGUCGGAUGUGAAAGCCCGGGGCUUAACCCCGGGUCUGCAUUCGAUACGGGCAGGCUAGAGUUCGGUAGGGGAGAUCGGAAUUCCUGGUGUAGCGGUGGAAUGCGCAGAUAUCAGGAGGAACACCGAUGGCGAAGGCAGAUCUCUGGGCCGUAACUGACGCUGAGGAGCGAAAGCGUGGGGAGCGAACAGG
rnacentral:rRNA from 1 species